AAUGAAUGAGGUUCAGGUGGUGAUUGACACUCCUGACCACCAAUCAGUAGCGAGCAGGCACUAUUUAGAGUGGGUUGGUUUGAGCCUGGCAUGUGUCACGCCCGGAUCCUCCCCUUUUGCGGUUGCUAAAGACAUUUCAGCCUGUCUUUUCAGUGUGUGUCCCUGUUGGAUGCUGCUUUGGAUCUGUUUAUUGCCCUCCCUGCAGUUUAACAGCAGGUUAUUUGAAGGCUGCGUAUCCUGAGCGGUGAAUUGAUUCUCAGGAACUUAUCUAUCCGCGUUUGGAGCUGGGGUCCCACGGGUGAAAGGUCUUUGGUGGUGCUAUUUCUACAUUUGCUGUACGACACUUUUGACGUGUAUGAGUGGGUGUUUUGAGUUCACGGUGAGGUGUGUGUGGAAGUGUGCUUUUUGAUAAUUAGUGCUGAUCACUCCGGUGGGUAACUCCAGCCCUGUAUGCAAUGAUUUUAUGUUGUUUUGUUCAUUUGGAAGUUGUGUAAAUUUAUUGUUUAAUA